GACGAACGCUGGCGGCGUGCUUAACACAUGCAAGUCGAACGGAAAGGCCCUGCUUUUGUGGGGUGCUCGAGUGGCGAACGGGUGAGUAACACGUGAGUAACCUGCCCUUGACUUUGGGAUAACUUCAGGAAACUGGGGCUAAUACCGGAUAGGAGCUCCUGCUGCAUGGUGGGGGUUGGAAAGUUUCGGCGGUUGGGGAUGGACUCGCGGCUUAUCAGCUUGUUGGUGGGGUAGUGACUUACCAAGGCUUUGACGGGUAGCCGGCCUGAGAGGGUGACCGGCCACAUUGGGACUGAGAGACGGCCCAGACUCCUACGGGAGGCAGCAGUGGGGAAUAUUGCACAAUGGGCGGAAGCCUGACGCAGCAACGCCGCGUGCGGGAUGACGGCCUUCGGGUUGUAAACCGCUUUCGCCUGUGACGAAGCGUGAGUGACGGUAAUGGGUAAAGAAGCACCGGCUAACUACGUG
rnacentral:rRNA from 1 species